AGAGUUUGAUUCUGGCUCAGAACGAACGCUGGCAGCGUGGAUUAGGCAUGCAAGUCGAACGUGAAGCCGAUGAUCGAUCUUUCGGGAGAGUGAUUCGGUGGAAAGUGGCGAAAGGGUGAGUAACGCGUGGGUAAGCUAUCUUGAAGUUCGGGACAACCCGCCGAAAGGCGGGCUAAUACCGAAUGUGGUCUUUGGAUGCAUAUCCGGAUGAUUAAAGGUGGGGCUCCUUUGGGACCUGCCGCUUUUAGAGGUGCCCGCGUGCCAUCAGCUUGUUGGUAGGGUAACGGCCUACCAAGGCUUACGGCUAGCCGGCCUGAGAGGGUGACCGGCCACACUGGGACUGAGACACUGCCCAGACUCCUACGGGAGGCUGCAGUCGAGGAUCAUUCGCAAUGCGCGAAAGCGUGACGAUGCGACGCUGCGUGGAGGAUGAAGGCCUUCGGGUCGUAAACUCCUGUCAUGAGGGAACAGCCAUUUCACCCCGAAUACGGGUGGAAUCCGAUGGUACCUCAAGAGGAAGCCACGGCUAACUCUGUGCCAGCAGCCGCGGUAAUACAGAGGUUGCGAGCGUUGUUCGGAUUUACUGGGUGUAAAGGGUGCGUAGGUGGUUUUGUAUGUCGGAUGUGAAAGCCCAUGGCUCAACCGUGGAACUGCAUUCGAAACUGCGGAACUAGAGUGCAGGAUGGAAGAGCGGAAUUCUUGGUGUAGCGGUGAAAUGCGUUGAUAUCAAGAAGAACACCGGUGGCGAAGGCGGCUCUCUGGAAUGUCACUGACACUGAGGCACGAAAGCUGGGGGAGCAAACAGGAUUAGAUACCCUGGUAGUCCCAGCCGUAAACGGUGCACACUUGGUGUGGGGAGAUUUAACCCUCUCCGUGCCGGAGCUAACGCGUUAAGUGUGCCGCCUGGGGAGUACGGCCGCAAGGCUAAAACUCAAAGAAAUUGACGGGGGCCCGCACAAGCGGAGGAGCAUGUGGCUUAAUUCGAUACAACGCGAAGAACCUUACCAGGGCUUGACAUAUACCUGCACGCCCCUCGAAAGGGGGGAAGCCUUUGAGGGUGGUAUACAGGUGCUGCAUGGCUGUCGUCAGUUCGUGCUGUGAGGUUUGGGUUAAGUCCCGUAACGAACGCAACCCUUGUGGUUAGUUGCCACCGGCGGUGAUGAGCCGCCGAGCACUCUAGCCAGACUGCCCGUACAAGCGGGAGGAAGGUGGGGAUGACGUCAAGUCAGUAUGGCCCUUACGCCCUGGGCUGCACACGUGCUACAAUGGGCGGUACAAUGGGAAGCAAUACCGCGAGGUGGAGCAAAUCCCCAAAGCCGCCCCCAGUUCGGAUUGAAGUCUGCAACUCGACUUCAUGAAGUUGGAUUCGCUAGUAACGGCGCAUCAGCUACGGCGCCGUGAAUACGUUCCCGGGCCUUGUACACACCGCCCGUCACAUCAUGAAAGCCGUCUGCACCCGAAGUCGCUGAUCCAACCCGCAAGGGAGGAAGGUGCCGAAGGUGUGGGUGGUGAUUGGGAUGAAGUCGUAACAAGGUA
rnacentral:rRNA from 1 species